AAAAGAAUAAAAGUAUAUAAGAAUAAAGCUAUCGAUAACUAGACUCAAAUGAACUCAUCUUCUUGAUUUUCAUUUGCUCAGUCUCAUAAAAGUAGUGAAUUCAACUCAGAGAAAUAUAAAUUAUCUUAUAGUGUAAACUUGAGGACAUGGACAUGAGCAUCGAAAUAUUUAGGGACAUGAAUAAAUCUGUUUGACGUUUAUAGUCGCACAAGAACUUGUUUGAUUAUAAGAGAAUGAACAACAGAGCAACCAUAAAGUGCAGGUGAAUAUUGUGAACUCCCCGAUGGACAAGAGCGGCACAUCUUAAAGUACCAGGAAAAUAAAAAUUAAUAGCAGGGAAUGAGUCCAACUAAUGAUAGCUUAUACCCCGUCCCACCUAUGAACCCUGACCUAAUUAGAACUUCAUUAUCCAUUAAAAUCCAUUUAAUCUUCUUAUUGAUGAUAAAACAUUGCUGUGAGUGAAAGUUGAUACCCAC
rnacentral:lncRNA from 1 species